AACUUACUUUCAAUUCUCCCUUUAGUGAUUAUACACGUUUAGGGCUUCCACAAACCAUAAGUGACACCUAGCAGUAUGUCAUGGUUACCCAAGCUAAUCAGAAGAGGUGGAGAACCUAUUCAGUUCAGGAUUACAAUGCAAUACGGUCUUUCUCUAAUACAAUACUCUUGACCACAUUGUUUGGUUUGAUAGUUUAUUCAUGUCUACUAUCCAAUGUGAUUCAUUUACUUAUAUGAUUACCUUGAAUGUGAUUUGGAAUGACUUCCUAAAUCUCAUUCAUACUCUAGCCAGAGAUUCUUAAUCAUAUCAUAGAGUAUUCUCCUUCAAACGGUUUGAAGGUUAGAGAU
rnacentral:lncRNA from 1 species